AUGAACAAAGUUCGCGCUCCGAAGUUGGAACAUGUCGAAGCACUACAUUCUGCAUUACUUCGUUGUAUGAAGUUUUAACAAUUUCCAAGAACACUUCGAUGGAAAAUCGGUGUAAACAAUUAAUAUUUUACUAAUCAAGUAUAUUCCGGAUGUUUUUUUGAAAAAACUUCUUUCUCAUAUAUACUCGUGAGGAUAUCUCAAUGGACAAUAAAUCAGUACACCCGGUGUGUUUUGAUGUUUCUUCAGAUUUCUUACAUGAAGACGCAACGGUG